UACGGAGGUCUCAAGCGUUGUUCGGAUUCAUUGGGCGUAAAGGGUGCGUAGGCGGCUCGGUAAGUCGGGUGUGAAAUCUCGGGGCUUAACUCCGAAACUGCAUUCGAUACUGCCGUGCUUGAGGACUGGAGAGGAGACUGGAAUUUACGGUGUAGCGGUGAAAUGCGUAGAUAUCGUAAGGAAGACCAGUGGCGAAGGCGGGUCUCUGGACAGUUCCUGACGCUGAGGCACGAAGGUCAGGGGAGCAAACGGG
rnacentral:rRNA from 1 species